GUCUUACUCAUAGUCGAGUUCUCAUUUUGUUGUUGUCGUCGAAUUCGAAAGCUUUACAAUCGGACAAACCUGAAGAAAUUCCAGAUUCCUCGUCGAAUGAUUUCCAGCACGGCGACAAUGGCGAUCAAGGCUUGUCUGUGGAUAAAUGGAGCUUCUCUGAAACCUAAUACCGAUUGCAUCCAAGCGAGUCUCAGCAAGAUAUUCAGUCCCUGCAACCAAGAUUCGGAAGAUUGUUAUUAUCGGCUAAAACAUGUCAUGGAAAGCUAGGUUUUCAAGAAUUUGCGGUAUGUUCUUACAAUUGCUACAUAGUAAACAUUUUUGUUGGAUA